GGUGGUGAUGAGAUAUCCAUGUUUUGAGGUAUAGAAUUUGGUACCAAGUUCCUGCUUAUAGGGAGAACCUACUUAGGAUCACUGCAUUUUUUGUGGAAUUAUUGGAUUAUUUGAGUC